rnacentral:lncRNA from 1 species
UUUCUCGAGGAUAAUAAGUCCUCCAGAAGUUUGUGAACAAUUAUGUUCAACGACGCAUGCUCCAUGAAUAGGGAGUUGUGUAUGUAACAACACUAAUGUCAGAAUACGCACACUUCAUCAUGCAAUGUUCUAACCCACCAUGAUAUCUUCUCUGGGCAUGGGCAACCCCGGCUGAGACUGAACAAAUUCGCGCAAUUCAGUCUCACGCAUGCACGACCCUGCCCAGAACUACGCAUGCUCACAUAUAACAAUUCAUUCGAACGCGCACUGCAGCGACUGCAGAUGUAUUGAUGACCUUAGAAUUACAAUGUAUCUUUCCGAUUGGCAGUGCCAACAUUCAGACACUUGCCUACCUUACAAGCCUCCAAUUGGUGACCAGGGAAACUAAACUAUGUACAUCUAGUUGCCGGGAACGAAGUUGGUGGCGUAUGCCCAUGCGUUGUUGGCAACGGGGUCUGCCAAGUGGUCGUUCAAGUUCUCCAAGGGGCCCUUGCCAGUCACAAUUGCCUGCACGAAGAAUCCGAACAUCGAGAACAUCGCAAGUCGGCCGUUCUUGAUUUCCUUCACCUUCAACUCAGCGAAGGUGUCGGGGUCGUCAGCCAAACCCAAGGGGUCGAAAGAGCCUCCGGGGUAGAUGGGGUCGGUCACAUCGCCCAAUGGUCCUCCGGCAACACGGUACCCCUCCACGGCUCCCAUCAGGAUCACCUGGCAGGCCCAGAUGGCCAAAAUGCUCUGAGCGUGCACAAGGCUAGGGUUGCCUAAGUAGUCCAAACCUCCCUCGCUGAAGAUCUGGGCUCCGGCCUUGAACCACACGGCCUCGCCGAACUUCACACCGCUCUUGGCCAGCAGCUCAGGGGUCAGGCACCCCAGAGCUCCGAGCAUGGCCCAGCGGGCGUGGAUGACCUCCAACUCCCUGUUGCGGGCGAAGGUCUCGGGGUCCGACGAGAGUCCGGCGGUGUCCCAGCCGUAGUCUCCAGCGAACUCACCGUUCAGGUACGAGGGGGUCUCACCGGAGAAAGGGCCCAAAAACUUGGGUCUGUCAGCGCCAUACCUGAUUCACAAGCCGAACUGUAAGUCACUCAUAACCGAACAUCCGCCUAUGCUAUUUCCUCAGAAACGUGUUUCUUUUAACAUCGGUCAAUUCACUGCACCCCGUCGAGGGUCACAUUGACAUCCUACAACCUCGCGAACGACUACAGCACUACUCACAAUUACACUAAUGCCAACACGUCCGCAGCAGCAGAGAAUCAUUCCAUCGAAGCGGACCUCACGAACCCAAUCCGCAGCUCACAAGAUCACCCAGCCGCCAGCAACAGUCAUUUCUACAGCCUAAACGAGGCACGGCCAAUGCACCCAUGACCAAUCCGCAACACAGGAGAAAUGAGGCAAUCAGCACAAGACGCGAGAGUGAGGGGGGGCAAUGCAAACAUACCAGAUGCUGUCGCUGCCAGAAGACUUGCUGACGGUCUUGCGCAUGGUGACGCGAGCCUGGCUGGUGCCCACCUUGCGGACGAGCUCAUUGGCGGGCUGAAGCAAGGCCUGGCCGGCCAGGGCAGUAGACGCGCAUGCGGUAGCGGCAGCCAUAGCGACAGGUAGCGGGGGGCGACGGGGACGAAGGCACAGAGUGAGGUGAAGUCACAGCGCGCGAUGGUGCAUUGAGAGCACUGGCCUGCGUCCCUUAUAGAGAGAGCGAGUGGGUGGGCGACGCCAGCGCGGGGGGGGGGCUGCAAUGGAGGAGGGGAGAGGGAGGGAGGGAGCGCAAUCGCAAUUGGAUAAGGUG